rnacentral:rRNA from 1 species
GGCGAGUGGCGAACGGGUGAGUAACAUAUCGGAACGUACCGAGCAGUGGGGGAUAACUAAUCGAAAGAUUAGCUAAUACCGCAUAUUUUCUGAGGAAGAAAGCAGGGGACCAUUUGGCCUUGCGCUGUUUGGGCGGCCGAUAUCUGAUUAGCUAGUUGGUGGGGUAAAGGCCUACCAAGGCGACGAUCAGUAGCGGGUCUGAGAGGAUGAUCCGCCACACUGGGACUGAGACACGGCCCAGACUCCUACGGGAGGCAGCAGUGGGGAAUUUUGGACAAUGGGCGCAAGCCUGAUCCAGCCAUGCCGCGUGUCUGAAGAAGGCCUUCGGGUUGUAAAGGACUUUUGUCAGGGAAGAAAAGGGCGGGGUUAAUACCCCUGUCUGAUGACGGUACCUGAAGAAUAAGCACCGGCUAACUACGUGCCAGCAGCCGCGGUAAUACGUAGGGUGCGAGCGUUAAUCGGAAUUACUGGGCGUAAAGCGGGCGCAGACGGUUACUUAAGCAGGAUGUGAAAUCCCCGGGCUCAACCUGGGAACUGCGUUCUGAACUGGGUGACUAGAGUGUGUCAGAGGGAGGUAGAAUUCCACGUGUAGCAGUGAAAUGCGUAGAGAUGUGGAGGAAUACCGAUGGCGAAGGCAGCCUCCUGGGAUAACACUGACGUUCAUGCCCGAAAGCGUGGGUAGCAAACAGGAUUAGAUACCCUGGUAGUCCACGCCCUAAACGAUGUCGAUUAGCUGUUGGGCAGCAUGACUGCUUAGUAGCGAAGCUAACGCGU